CCUCCAACCCCUGUGACAUACCACUUGUUGCCUCGGCGGAUCAGCCCGCUCCCGGUAAAACGGGACGGCCCGCCAGAGGACCCCUAAACUCUGUUUCUAUAUGUAACUUCUGAGUAAAACCAUAAAUAAAUCAAAACUUUCAACAACGGAUCUCUUGGUUCUGGCAUCGAUGAAGAACGCAGCAAAAUGCGAUAAGUAAUGUGAAUUGCAGAAUUCAGUGAAUCAUCGAAUCUUUGAACGCACAUUGCGCCCGCCAGUAUUCUGGCGGGCAUGCCUGUUCGAGCGUCAUUUCAACCCUCAAGCACAGCUUGGUGUUGGGACUCGCGUUAAUUCGCGUUCCCCAAAUUGAUUGGCGGUCACGUCGAGCUUCCAUAGCGUAGUAGUAAAACCCUCGUUACUGGUAAUCGUCGCGGCCACGCCGUUAAACCCCAACUUCUGAAUGUUGACCUCGGAUCAGGUAGGAAUACCCGCUGAACUUAAGCAUAUCAAUAAGCGGAGGA
rnacentral:rRNA from 1 species